rnacentral:rRNA from 1 species
GACGAACGCUGGCGGUGUGCUUAACACAUGCAAGUCGAACGGUAAGGCCCUUUCGGGGGUACACGAGUGGCGCACGGGUGAGUAACACGUGAGUAACCUGCCCUCAUCUCUGGGAUAACAGUCGGAAACGGUUGCUAAUACUGGAUAUGAGCUUGCAAGGCAUCUUGUGGGUUGGAAAGAUUUUUUUGGUUGGGGAUGGACUCGCGGCCUAUCAGCUUGUUGGUGAGGUAGUGGCUCACCAAGGCUUCGACGGGUAGCCGGCCUGAGAGGGCGACCGGCCACAUUGGGACUGAGAUACGGCCCAAACUCCUACGGGAGGCAGCAGUGGGGAAUAUUGCACAAUGGACGGAAGUCUGACGCAGCAACGCCGCGUGCGGGAUGACGGCCUUCGGGUUGUAAACCGCUUUCAAUUGUGACGAAGCUUUUUGUGACGGUAGCAGUAGAAGAAGCACCGGCUAACUACGUG